CCUUGAAAUACCACCCUUUAAUGUUUGAUGUUCUAACGUGGGCCCCUUACCGGGGUUGCGGACAGUGUCUGGUGGGUAGUUUGACUGGGGCGGUCUCCUCCUAAAGAGUAACGGAGGAGCACGAAGGUUGGCUAAUCCUGGUCGGACAUCAGGAGGUUAGUGCAAUGGCAUAAGCCAGCUUGACUGCGAGCGUGACGGCGCGAGCAGGUGCGAAAGCAGGUCAUAGUGAUCCGGUGGUUCUGAAUGGAAGGGCCAUCGCUCAACGGAUAAAAGGUACUCCGGGGAUAACAGGCUGAUACCGCCCAAGAGUUCAUAUCGACGGCGGUGUUUGGCACCUCGAUGUCGGCUCAUCACAUCCUGGGGCUGAAGUAGGUCCCAAGGGUAUGGCUGUUCGCCAUUUAAAGUGGUACGCGAGCUGGGUUUAGAACGUCGUGAGACAGUUCGGUCCCUAUCUGCCGUGGGCGCUGGAGAACUGAGGGGGGCUGCUCCUAGUACGAGAGGACCGGAGUGGACGCAUCACUGGUGUUCGGGUUGUCAUGCCAAUGGCACUGCCCGGUAGCUAAAUGCGGAAGAGAUAAGUGCUGAAAGCAUCUAAGCACGAAACUUGCCCCGAGAUGAGUUCUCCCUGACUCCUUGAGAGUCCUGAAGGAACGUUGAAGACGACGACGUUGAUAGGCCGGGUGUGUAAGCGCAGCGAUGCGUUGAGCUAACCGGUACUAAUGAACCGUGAGGCUUAACCUUACAACGCCGAAG
rnacentral:rRNA from 1 species